rnacentral:rRNA from 1 species
UUCGCCUUCAUGAAGUCGGAAUUGCUAGUAAUGGCAGGUCAGCAUACUGCCGUGAAUACGUUCCCGGGCCUUGUACACACCGCCCGUCACACCAUGAGAGUUGGAGAUACCCGAAGCCUAUGAGCUAACUUUUAGAGGCAGUAGUCGAAGGUAGAAUCAAUGAUUGGGGUGAAGUCGUAACAAGGUAGC